rnacentral:tRNA from 3 species
GGAGGGGUCGCAUAGCGGCUAUUGCACCGGUCUUGAAAACCGGAAUCCCUUCGGGGAUUCGUGAGUUCGAGUCUCACCCCCUCCG